rnacentral:sRNA from 1 species
AUGGGUGAAGGAAAUUUAACUUGUGCUCUUUUUCUAGACUUUAGAAAAGCUUUCGAUAUUGUUAACCAUCAUAUUUUACUGGACAAACUACAGAUGUAUCACUGUGAUGAUCAUGCUAUGGAUUGGUUUAAAUCUUCAUCAGUAACAGAUUUAAAUGCAUUUCUGAAUGUAAAUUUUUGUAAUGUUAUGAAUUGGUAUAAUGAUAUGAUAUUGAACGGUCAUGUGACAAGGAAAGUGAAGGACUUUUGUCGUGAGGCAAAAACACAGAUUGUUGCUGAUUGUAUUAAAUGCUAUUUACACGACGAAACUGUUAGUAGAUGUUCAUUCUAUUAGAGCUUUCUUACAAAAUGACGAAAGGUACGAACGAACGUAAAGGGAGCACGUAUUUCAUUUCCACAAUAACAAUUUAGAGUCUUUACUUUUAUCCGGUAAAACAGUGUUCUUUCCUGGAUCAAAUUUAUCUUUCAAAAAUAAGCAUAUCGCAAAUAAUACACGCUUUUAAUAUAAGAAAACAAAGAAAAAUAGUGUCAAAUACACUUACGUCCGAUACGUUACUUACGUAAACCACGAGUUCACAAAUUUCCGCGGGAAUAUUUUAAGCAUGAGUUUUUAUGAUUAAAAAAUUUUAAUAGCAUUAUUGAGGUACGUUAGUUUAAAUUUAACGACAAGAUUCACAUUUGUUUUUUUUUUUAUAUUACACUUUCAGCAAAUUGUUAACGUGAAAUAUCGAGAUUUGCAAAACAAUAAUGCUGCAUUGUUUUGAAAAAGUAAUGUGAAAUGAAUUGUGAUCAUUUUUUUUGUUUUCUAUCUGAAACUAUAACUUUAAGUUAUGAUUGCAAAUUCAGUUAAAUAUGAACGUUACAAAGUCCACACUGUGAAACAAGUAUAAAAUGGGGGAAAAACCAAGGUAUGGGAGCAACCAACUUCAAAAGAGGAGGGGUAAUGUUUUUUUUCUUUUCUUGGUUUUUCGACGCUAUAAAGCAAUUGAUUUUUUUUUCCAAAAUUUUAACACUAUAGGGUAAAGGGAAAAUCUGGAUUCAGAAUUUUUUGUUUGUAAUCUGCAUGACCACAAUAUGUGUUUGUGAUAAAAUUAUUUAAAUUAUUUGUUUUACAAAUUUUAAUUGAAGUUUGAAUUUACAUCCACGAUUCACAGGAUCUUGAUCAUACUUUUGACAAAUUUUAAUCGGGAACGGUCCUGUCAAGGACGGCAGUAAAAAUCGUGAAUGUGUGACCCCAGCUUAAGGUUUUUGUUAUUGUUUUUAGGGGCAUUUUUUCUUCUGAAUUCCCUAUUUUUAGGAUAUUUUAUAGGGUUAUCUCCUUCCACCUGGUGGUAUUAUAUGUUAACCUAUCGUACGUCCCGAAAUCAUAUAUGUCCUAUAUAUCGGAAAAAAAUGUCGAUGCAUGUAGGGUAAUGGUCUGUCUGAGGUUCCAUGACUAUUAUUUAGAUAUAUGUCAAAAUAAAGGAUCCCGAAAACGAGUCUUGCGUAUGAUUCGUCAUGCGUACGUACCUUUCGUCAAUUUGUAAGAAAGCUCUAUUAGGAAGAUACUGUAUAUUGAAAAGCUUUAUAAGAACAAUCGUUAUUUCUCGUUUACCUAGCAGAGGUUGGUUUGUUAUCGAUCACGCAUUUCGAACAUUCGAGUAUCCACAAUCCUGGAAUUCAGCAAUCUAUUAUUUUACUUUAUACCAGUGUCAACCGUUUUAGCAGUCUUUUGUAUUGAAUUUAUUCUAACCAAUCUUUGUUAACUAUCAAUAUGACCAGAAACAAGUCAAAUGCAUAGCGUAAAUUGAUUUGUCAAAUAAUAUAGACUCUUCAUUUGAUUCACCAUCACAAGAACAAUAAAAAAAGGGACAAACAAAACUUUCAAAAAAACAACACCGGUGUUCGUUCUAGGGCUUGUCAUCCGAAAAUAAACCGGAUAACCAGAAACAUGUCUUCAAUACGAAAACCAAUACACCGCAUCAGUACCCAUACCCAUCCCCUUUUCCUGGUCCCCUUCUAUCUCAUUCUGGACCAUAUCCGUCCUUUAUUUGGGCCCCAACUCCAGUGGCUGAUAACAACAUGCUUAAUCAUAUUAUGCAAUUUAUCUGACCUUUUAUGUAUUUCUAGGAAUAUGAUUGGUUAAAAGCAACCGCGUGGAGACUGCGUAUAUUUCAUAUGGGGUUAGAAGGCAUGGUUUAUUUCAAUACACGGUUAGAAGUGGUGUUACGUCCCUUUAUAAAAACAACGCGGUGUUGAGGAAAAUCUGAAAGGUUUCAACAGACGAAGAAAUUGAUCAUGAACGAUUGAAAUAAAGGCAGAAAACACAUUAAAAGGUUACAAGUUGUUAUUGUUGACAUUGUUUUUGUAUAGACCAAUUGAAGUAGUGACUUGAUCACCUUGGUAGGCCACUAUUCUAAAUGCCACAUGUUAAGAAAGUCGGUACGAUGAAUUCGUUGCACAGUGUGCUAGUGACCUAACACAUAUAUAGGGUCAGUAAAUUCCAUAUGGAAUUUACUGACCCCAUUUAUAUCGUACUUGGUCACUAACAGACUAUGUAACUAAUAAUAUCACGACGGAAGAUAGCCAACUAAGUAAAAUUAGAAAAUAUGGAGAGAGAAAAAUCGACAAAUUGGAAAGUUUCUGUGAAAAUAUUGAGAACUUGUAUAUUCGAGUAUAUAAAAACUGAAACCGGUAUUGAAAACCUUACUUCACAAAUGACUGAAAUACAAAAUGCAUGCGAUUCUCAUAAUAUAAAGCUUGAUGAGUUAUGUGUAGAGUGGACAACCUCUGAAAAAACAUAGCUCUUUUGAUAUUGCUGCGUUAAGCACUCUGUUGUUGACCUGACAGCGAUUUUUUUGCAAUUUUCUCAAUUUAUUUUCACACUAGAGAAGAACGAGGUUAAUUCUGUUCGUGUUAUUUUUAUAAUCACAAAAGUCGCGUAAAUAAAUUGGGUGCCAAAAUUAAUUGGUUUGAAGUAUGUUUUUUUUUUCAAAACUAAAUUAUUAAGAAAACCCCAAAAACUUUAUCCAAAAAAUAUCACAAGUUAGUUCAUUCCAAUCCUUUGCAUGCAAUAAUCUGUUCGUGUUGUUUUCUAGUUGUGCGAAGAUCUCAUAACUACUAUAAGUGUCUGACAGUAGCUGACCUGAAAAAAUACAUACAAAAAGGUGUGUUAAAAUGUGAGAAAAGAAGCGUUAAAAUGAGAUAAUAAAAUUAAAAAGCAGAGAACUUAAAAGCAGGACUGUAAUGGUGAAUUUGUGAAUUUGAAUUCCUUGCUGUUGAACUCUAUUUGAAUAUGUUUAUCAUGCAUAAAAUCCCUUCAUGUAUUGUCUCUAUAUGUAAACUAUAAAACUUUGAACUUUACUAAAAUUUACCAAGCGAUUUAAGAGGAGUAUUGCUCAUUACAGUUUUUUUUUAAACAAAUGGGCAUAGGGACAAGACAAUUUCUACAUUUCCGAUAGACACCCAGAAAUAUAUGAUAAGGUCGAUAAAGUACCAGUUACUUGUAUAUGAAAAGCCCUGUCAUUCUUUCACAGCCGAAAGUCUGGCCGUAAGUAAACAUUACACACAGAAUCUUAGCUUUAAAUAUUCCACUUUUCCACCCCACCCCACAAAACCCAACCAAUAUGGGAAAAGGUUACAAUUUUACCUAUGAAAUAUAUGAAAAGGUAUACAUUCCUAAGAUCUAUAUUAUAUGAAAAGGGAGGGGUAACAGAACCACCGCGACACCCCUAUCAAUUAAGUAUUGAAGUGCCAUCUCCUCCUCUCCCCCCCCCCCGCCGAGAUAACACCAUGACCAAAGCGACAAAGGUAGAACGUGACAAACAACAAUCAAAACACUUCACCGAAAUGAACGAAAUAAACUCAUUAUAGAUACCAGGAUUGAAAUUUUACGUUUGCGUGAGACGCGCGUUUCGUCUACGAAUUCCGAAAGACUCAUCAGUGACGCUCGAAUCAAAAAUGUUUACUACAUACUAUAUGUAUCAUUUACGCAAAAAAAAAAAAACACAAAAAAAACCCAAAAAAAAAAAACAAACAACUUAUUGCGCCAGUUUUAUGAAUUUAUUUAUUUUUACUGUACACAGAAAUUUCAAAUUGGCCUCACAUCCAAAUAGAAUGAUCCCGCUUUCUGAAUCAUUACACAAUACAAAGUCAUCAUUUUUGUUUUUUACAACACCAAAUAUCAUCAAGAAUUCUGUGAAAUUCGGCUUGAUUGUUUGGUUGAGCUGGAUGCAGUUUCCUUCUUUCUCUGUUCACGAGAGGUGUAAUUGAUACCUUUUCAAAAGUAUAGAUGUGCCAAUUACAAGAUGGACGUUCAUAAUUUUCCUCGUUCGAAAUCAUCGAGAAUAUGGUGAAUAACAUAGAUUAUAUCGAAUUUAUAGAUGUAUGUAUUUAUGUGGUGUUAUAUUGGGUUCCUAAUCCAUCUUCAAGCCCCAUUCGUACAGUUAAAUAGACAAUAGACAAUAGACAAUGUUUUAUUCGCACAAACACAUUUACAUUAAAUGGUUAUGGCAUACAAAAUUAAGACAAUAAACUGACAAUAGUUAAAUUGAUUAUAAUUAUAUUAGAGUGACAGUGGUAUUCACAGCGAAGAAGAAAAAGGCUAUAAAUAUCAACAGUUAACACAUUGUUAAUGUUCAUGAACAAUUAAAAAAAAAGAUCACAAACAAAAAUUAGGUUGCAUAUUAAAAAAAAAGUUAUACAGAUGUUCUUAAUAAAAGACAAUCAUUAAUAUACUUUAUGGUGAUUUUUAUAAUGACUGGUAGACUGCUAUUUAAAAGUACAGUCAAAUGAUUUAGUGUUAUAGUGGACUGCAAUUUAAUAAAAUUGAAAUUAAGAUUUUUAUUAAUAUUUUGUAUAUAGGUAUACCUUAAUGAUUUAUAGCAUGGACAGAUUGAGAAGAAAUUGUAUUCAUCCUCAAUUUCUUGUCUGUUACAGGAUAAGCAAAUGCGUUUACUUCUUUCAAUGUUGGUAUAACUAUAAUGAUGCAAAAACGAGUGAUAUUUAAAGAUAAGAUUUAUAAAUAAAUUACAAGUAAAGCGUUGGUGAAUAAUUGAAGAAUUGCACAGAAGUUAAAGAGAAUAUUUGUCAAUUAAUUGUAAAAUUAAAUGACAGAAAAAUAAACGUAAAUAAAAUAAAUCAAAGAAAGUUUUACUUGUUUAUAGAACAAUUUACUAAAAAUAUAAAUGUAAAGUGUUUAAUCUUUUAAGCAUAUUUGAUAACGUUGUCUCAAACAUGUCCCCCAGCUAAUAAUUGAUAAAUGUGUCAGCUUCGAAGGCAUAAAGAUAAUUGUAUAUACUUUUAAAAUUAAUAGACUUGAACAAUUAAGAUUAAGUAAUUCUGCCUUUAACCGACAAAAAUCCAUUGUUUAUUAAAAGAGAUCAGAGAAAGCUAUUGUAAUGAGUAACAACAUAUUACGUGUCAAAUUAAGUCCAGUCUGCUAUAUAAAGUCGUGCAAAACUAUUUGGUUCACUAGACUGUGAACCAGAAUAAAAUGUAGUUAGCAGACUGGAUUGUCUUUUAAAGGUUAGUAAAAAUGUUAAAUUUGUUUAAUAGUUUAUCUUAUAAAUUUUAGCAGAAACGAGUUUAAAGAAUUAAAAGAUGUUUUCCAGUAAAGUAAUUUUAAUCACAUUCACAAGUAAAAUCGUGGUACAGUUUAAAUAAAUAAGAGGCAAAGUUUGAGAUAAAAUUUAGGUAAAUGAUUUGUAUAAAAUAUUCUUAACAUAUAAAAAGAAAUUAACUUAUUCGUAUUAAUAACUUUUGAAAAGGGUCAUAAAAAGCAAAAACAAAAAUUAAACAUUGAUCUUUCUGAAGCAGACUUAACAAAUGAGCAAAAAGAUAAAUUAAGAAAAUUUGUUGAUAAAAAUAGGAAUGUAUUUGCAACAGAUUUGUCUGAAAUUGGCAUGACAGAUGUACACUUUCAUGAAAUUGACACAGGGAACAACCCUCCUGUAAGUUUACCCCCACAUAGAGCUGCACCCAAUAUUAGAACAGAGAUUGAAAGACAAGUUGAAGAGAUGUUGAAGUACAAAAUUAUUGAGCCUUCUAAUUCUAUUUGGCAUAGCCCCGUUUGUCUCACUCGUAAGAAAGACAACAGUUGGCGAUUUUGCGUUGAUUAUAGAAGGGUAAAUGCUUUUACUUCCCCGAUGCAUGCUACGCUUGGAAACAUGCAUGAUGUCUUUGAUACUAUGGGAGAAAUGCAACCACAGAUAUUUAGUUCUAUUGAUUUAUCUUCAUCUUUUUGGCAGGUGCCUUUGCACCCAAAUUCUAAACAAAAAGCAGCGUUUGUAACUCAUUCUGGAAUCUAUGAAUGGAAUAGAAUGCCGUAUGGUCUACGUAAUAGCAGUAUAGCUUUUUCUCAGGUCAUGUCACAAAUAUUAAGAGGAUUGCACUGGAAGUAUGUACUUGCAUAUAUUGAUGAUAUUUUGAUUUUCAGUAAAACAUUUGAAGAGCAUCUGCAACAUCUUGAAGAAGUAUUUGCUAGGUUACGUAAAGCAAAUUUUACUCUUAAACCACAAAAAUGUCACUUUGCUGUUAAGAAAGUCAAUUAUCUAGGUCACAUUAUUUCAAAAGACGGUGUCAAGGUAGAUGAUUCCAAAAUUACUAUAGUAAAAAACUAUCCGAGGCCUAAAAAUCAGCACGAGGUCAGACAGUUCUUAGGUCUGUGUAAUUACUAUAGACGCUUUGUAAAGGACUAUGCUAAAAUCACAGUUCCCUUAAAUAAUCUUUUACAAAAAGACAAAGAAUAUGUUUGGACUGAUAAAUGUCAAAUUUCGUUUGAAAAUCUUAAACAAGCUUUGACAACUGCUCCUGUUUUGUCGUACCCAGAUAUGUCAAAACCAUUUAUUUUGACUUGUGACGCAUCAGGUUCAGCCAUUGGCUAUAUUCUAGGUCAGUUAGAUGAAAAUGGUAAAGAAAGAGUAAUAUCAUACAGUGGUCGUGCUUUGAGAAAUAAUGAAUUAAACUGGACUAUUACUGAAAAAGAAUGCUUAGCAGUUCUUGAAGGUAUCACUAAAAACAAAGUUUAUUUGUCUCAUGCAAGAUUCAAAGUGUAUACUGAUCAUCAAGCUUUAGUUUGGUUACAUAAAUCAAAAGAUACUAACUCUCGUCUAGGGAGAUGGGCUCUUGAAUUGCAAAAUUAUGAUUUUGAAAUUAUUUAUAAAGAAGGUAAAAAGAAUACAAAUGCGGAUGCUUUGUCAAGAAUUCCUUAUAAAGAAAUUGAAGAUGAAAUACACCCAAAAUUGUCUGUAAACAGUUUAUUGGAAAAUAAGAUCAAAACUGAAAUUAAGUUUGAGUAUGCAAAUGAAAAGCCAAUAAUUGCAGCUAUUGAAAAUAAUGAGGUUGAUCUGAAUGAUGUAUCAGAUAUUUCAAAAUUGCAAAGAGAAUGUGAUCAGUUGAUCCCAUUGAUAAAAUACCUUGAAACGGGCGAGUUGCCCGAAAAUCAAAAAGAGGCUCGCAACAUAUGUUAUGAACGAGACCACUAUAGAUUAAGUCAAUCAGGUGAGUUAAUUCAUUUACAUAGGUCAAGAACAAAAGGGAUACCUAAAGCUGAAAGCAUGAUUGAACAAUUGGUUUUACCGAAAUGUCUAAGACAAGAUGCUUUGUUAGCAUAUCAUGAUCACAAUGGUCAUACAGGCAUCAAACGCACAUACGCUGGUAUACAUCUUAAAUAUUAUUGGUCAGGUAUGUAUCAAGAAGUUUAUAAUUAUGUGACGUCAUGUGAUAAAUGUCAAAGGUCAAAACAACCAACACACCAUCGUCCGGCACCAUUGCUUCCCCUUCCUAUUGAAGACACUUUGUCUAGAUGGCACAUGGACAUUCUUACAUGUCUACCCAAAACAAAAGACGGAUAUCAACACUUAUUGUUAGUAGUCGAUAGUUUUUCUCGAUGGCCCGAAUGUUUCCCUCUUAAGACUCAAGAAGCUACCGAAAUAGCUGAAGUAUUAUACAAUGAGGUGUUUUCUAGAUUUGGUGCGCCAAGAGCAAUUGUAUCUGACAGAGGAGCUAAUUUUUGUAGUAAACUUAUUCAGGCUCUAUGUGAACUAUUUGAAGUUCAAAGGUAUCAUACUAGUUCGUACCAUCCGCAAACCAAUUCAACAUGUGAACGAAUGAAUCGAACGAUCGCACAAACUUUACGUACAUUAGUGGCUAAAGAUCAGUCAAAUUGGCAUAAGUUAAUCCCUAGCGUUAUGAUGGCUUUACGUAUGUCUACAAAUACUGAAUCAACUGGUUAUUCUCCAUUUCAAAUGUUGUUUGGUAAAGAAAUGAACUUGCCAUUUGAUAUUUCUGUUCAACCUAAAGAUGGUAUGAGUAAAACUGCUAAGAAUCAUCUCGAAACCCUUAUUGAUAGACUAAAAAUUGUAAAAGAUAUAUACAAAAACUUCAGUAGAAAAUUCACAAGAGAAAACUAA